rnacentral:lncRNA from 1 species
AAAUCCCAUUUUUGGGUCAAAAACUCCCAAUUUCGGGGCAAGAAAUCCCAUUUUUGGGUCUGGAAGAGGUCCAGAAAUCCCAAUUUUAGGUCAAGAAAUCCCAUUUUUGGGUUAACGAAUCCCAUUUUUUGGUCCCCAAAUCCCAUUUUUGGGUCAAAAACUCCCAUUUUUGGGUCUUGAAAUCCCAUUUUUUGGUCCCAAUUCCCAUUUUUGGGUCAAAAAUUCCCAUUUUGGGGUCCAAAAGUCCCACUUUUGAGUCUCAAAUUCCCAUUUUUGGGUCAAGAAAUCCCAUUUUUUGGUCCCCAAAUCCCAUUUUUGGGUCCAAAAGUCCCAUUUUUGGGUCAAAAAUUCCCAUUUUUGUGUCUCAAAAUCCCAUUUUGGGGUCAAAAAGUCCCAUUUUUGAGACUAAAAAUCCCAAUUUUGGGUCCAAAAGUCCCAAUUUUGGGUCAAGAAAUCCCAUUUUCGGAUUCCAGAGGAGGCCCACCAGCCCCAUUCUUGAGUCCCCAAAUCCCAUUUUUGGGUCCCCAAAUCCCAAUUUUGGGUCCCCAAAUCCCAAUUUUGGGUCCAAAAGUCCCAAUUUUGGGUCCCCAAAUCCCAAUUUUGGGUCCAAAACUCCCAAUUUUGGGUCCCCAAAUCCCAUUUUUGGGUGCAGAAACCCCACUUUUGGGUCCCCAAAUCCCACUUUGGGGUCUCACCCCCCCACUUUUGGGUGAAAAGCCCCGAUUUUGGGUGAAAAGCCCCGUUUUGGCCCCAUGUUUUACCACCCCGAGAUCCUGCAGCGGCGCCGCGGCUGCUUCGGCACCAUCUGGUUGGCCGCCACCUGCGUGUCCCGCCUGCAGCGCCGCGAGGUGAUGGCUGUGGAUGUGCCCCAAACGUGGUCGGUUUUUAUGGGGUCCCUGUGGGGUUUUAUGGGGUCCCUGUGGGGUCACGUGGGGUUAUGGGGUCCCUGUGGGGUCAUACGAGGUUAUGGGGUCCUUAUGGGGUCCCUGUGGGGUCACAUGGGGUCACAUGGGGUUAUGGGGUCCCUAU